GAAAAAUGCUUAAGGUUUGCCUCGUGUCCGGCCGUUGAUCUGUGAAACCGAGAAAUCACGAGAGGCUUUUCUCGAGUACCUGAAGACUGCGAAGUUGGAUAAUGCUCGUGUGUUCAGUGACCACGUCGUUAAAGAAGAAACUGAAGAGACUACGUCAAUCAGAGUUGAGCUCUAGGAGGGACCACACAGGACAAGAUGAGACCAUCAAAAACGGAUAUCAGAAUCAGACUUUAUUGCCAAUAAUGGAUGCAAACAGAAAAGAAGAGAGGAGCUGAUGGUAUGGAGCAUAAAGGCUUCUCCCGUAUGGCUGCAUCAAUGGGAACCUCGUCUGAUGAGAUUGUCACUUGAUGUCACAUGCGACUGUCAUGGACCAGGGAUUUGUGAGAUAAAGGUAUUUUACACUUCAUCAUAAGCAUGCUAAAAAAUGUCCAACACAUAAAUUCAUAUUUUCACUUUAAUGUAAAGACAAAGUAUUUAAACUGUGGCAUGCAUACUUUUUUAACAUUAAUAGUUUUUAUUUGAUUUUUACCAGACCGAAACUAUGCUGAGUGUUGCAUCUUUGGUGUGGAACUUCUGUUGUUGGAAGGUUUUGGGAAUUUUGUCUAUUUACAAGAACUAAAAUGGUGUACAACUAUAAAAUAUAUCAAACAUACUAAGUCCACAGUUCUACAGUGUUUCAGUCUUUGGUGUUUGAAGUUGUAGCAUCUUAAAAUAGGGCAGUAAAAUUCAGAGUGAAAAGAACAUGUAAACAGUAGACAGGACAGAUUAAUUUUGUCUGACUGAUAUAAAGACAGGUGUUUUUUACCUGAUGUGACACAACUGUUCAGCCGCCUCUUCAUCAGAGGUGUUGCUUCGUGUCAGCUGUCAUUAGCAUGUGGGGUGAAGGCAAUAAUCUCAUAUAUCAAAUAAACCAAAAACUACAUCAU